ACUCAAAGGAAUUGACGGGGACUCGCACAAGCGGUGGAGCAUGUGGUUUAAUUCGACGCAACGCGAAAAACCUUACCAGGUCUUGACAUCCCUCUGACCUCACUAGAGAUAGUGAUUCCCUUCGGGGCAGAGGAGACAGGUGGUGCAUGGUUGUCGUCAGCUCGUGUCGUGAGAUGUUGGGUUAAGUCCCGCAACGAGCGCAACCCUCAUUGUUAGUUGCUAACAUUAAGUUGAGAACUCUAACGAGACUGCCAGUGACAAACUGGAGGAAGGUGGGGAUGACGUCAAAUCAUCAUGCCCCUUAUGACCUGGGCUACACACGUGCUACAAUGGCUGGUACAAAGAGUUGCGAAGCUGUGAAGUGAAGCAAAUCUCAAAAAACCAGUCUCAGUUCGGAUUGUAGUCUGCAACUCGACUACAUGAAGAUGGAAUCGCUAGUAAUCGUGAAUCAGAAUGUCACGGUGAAUACGUUCUCGAGUCUUGUACACACCGCCCGU
rnacentral:rRNA from 1 species